AAGAUGAUGAUGACUGGAGCAGUUUUGAAGUUCUGGAUGGGAGCGUUAUUGAUGCAAGUCUUCCAUAUUCUUCCGAAAUAGAAGAGGGGCAAAAAAAUAUAAGAGGGUAUAACACUUUGACUUUAUAGCUAUUUACAUGUUUCAGUUUUAUUUUCAGGAAAACUUCUAGUCUUUUGAACUUCCUUGGGAGGGGCAAGAACUCAUGGUCUUUUUUUUUUUCUUUCUUUUUUUUUUUUGGGCACAUAACUUUUUGUUAUUCCUGAUUUGAUGUGAAAUCUAAUUUUUGGAAUGAAGGUUUCACAAAGUUAGCGUUGAUGUGGGGCCAAAGUACCCAAGAGCAAAAAAGGAGCCUAUAGAAUCCUGCAUCUACUAUUAUGCCUGUAAAUUGAGAUACCCACGAGGAAAUUUGCCCGUACAACCUAACAUUUAUUAGUUUAUAUUGCCAAUUGAAUUAAACAAUAUUAGGAUUGUGAGUUUAGAGCGAUUGAUUUAGCACUAAUCUUCUUUGACAAACAGGCGACUAAACUAGGCUUGCGGAGAAACGUGAAUGUUGACUGUGACGCAAAAAAUCAAGUGGAUGUCUUUGUUCCAGGGAGGAGGCGCCUCAUUGCCAAAACAGCCGAGUACUUCUAGUAGUCUUUUUUUUUUCAUUGUAUAACGUUUUUUAAUUUUUUUCAAGUUUACUUGGUAAUUAUCUAAUUGGUGUUUUAUAUCCUAUGUGCAGGAAUAUAGGCUUGAUGAUAGACAUAAUGAAAAAAGCAUAUGUCCAUUGGGUUCCCCGAGAAGUCCAUCAACUUUGGAUUUGGAGCAGGAACGGUCAUCAGGUAGACUGUCUUUGAGCAGUUCACGGUCAAUAUUUGAUCAAAAAAAAUUGUAUGGUUCAGAU
rnacentral:lncRNA from 1 species